rnacentral:rRNA from 1 species
UACGUAGGGUGCAAGCGUUGUCCGGAAUUAUUGGGCGUAAAGAGCGUGUAGGCGGCCAGACAGGUCCGUUGUGAAAACUAGAGGCUUAACCUCUAGACGUCGAUGGAAACCGUCUGGCUAGAGUCCGGAAGGGGCAACUGGAAUUCUUGGUGUAGCGGUGAAAUGCGUAGAUAUCAAGAGGAACACCUGCGGCGAAGGCGGGUUGCUGGGCCGACACUGACGCUGAAGCGCGAAAGCCAGGGGAGCGAACGGG